UACGAGGGGAGCAAGCGUUGUUCGGAUUUACUGGGCGUAAAGGGCGCGUAGGCGGUCGUGACAAGUCACUUGUGAAAUCUCCGGGCUUAACUCGGAACGGUCAAGUGAUACUGUCGGACUAGAGUACAGAAGGGGCAACUGGAAUUCUCGGUGUAGCGGUGAAAUGCGUAGAUAUCGAGAGGAACACCUGCGGCGAAGGCGGGUUGCUGGGCUAAUACUGACGCUGAUGCGCGAAAGCCAGGGGAGCGAACGGG
rnacentral:rRNA from 1 species